UGGACAUUUAUUUUUAUUCAGUUUCUUCUCAAGGUGAAGAUAACUCUUUGUAAAUGUCCUAGAGAAAUAUAGUAGCUUUCUGUUCAUCCUUUCCAAGUGAAAAGGGUGGAUCGUUCCACUGCUGACAUUU
rnacentral:snoRNA from 1 species